AGAUUGGGACUACUGAGACAUCCAGACUUGUGGACUGAACAGGAAACAGAUGGGACACUCAGAAGAGAAUAGUUCCGUAUUCUGAACUUGUUUGGAAUUUGAAGCACUCUGUUUCCUGACUAUAGGUCUCUACUUUUUUCUCCAAAGGCCAAGCAUUGUCAGGACAAACUGUUCAACACCCCUUGCCACAGGUGCUUUGGGGGGAUCAUGAAUCACAUCUCUGGAGUAAAACUCAAGAUCCUUUACUAACAAUGGAGCAAGGGUAUGCUUGUGUCUUUCAGGAAGAUGAAUUAUCCCCUUCCCCAGAUAGGCACUACUCAGCUAUAUCAGACAGCUCAACUGAGCCUGCCACAGCAAAGAUGGCUGCACUGACCCCUGGAAAGCAGGAAGGAGACUCCAGAAGAAGAAGCCUCAACUUCCAUGGACCUGGACACCAGCAAUGAGGACUGAAAUGACUAGCUCACUUUCCUGUCCCCUCCUUGCAAUAUGCUUAAUUUACUGUUGUCUCCAAAAUGUUUACAGAAUCCCCUGACUGUGCAGCCUGUAUGACUCCCCAAGCCACUACCUGAGACCAAUUUAGACUAUGUUCCUGCUCCAUGCUACCUGAGAAUUCCUUCUCACUUAAAGGUUCUGAGAGACAAAUGCCUCACUUCUGUCCCACUAUUAAUAGUUACACCCCUAUCUUGGGACUGAUAAAAUGUCACAACUGCAGAAAGCUGAACAUCCUACUCUCUACUCUCCUCACACCCCAAUUCUGAGCUAGCCCUAAAAACUAAAACACAUUCUUUGUUCUACAACUGCAGGAGUUCAGGGGCAAGGACAGCCCAGCCCAGGUUUUAUAGCUAGCACUGAACCCCAAACAAGUAUCUGUGCCAGCUUUGCUGAUCUAAUCUUCUGAAAGAUCUUCAAAAUAACUUCUAAUUGAUAUCUGGCUUGGUAGCUGGAAUG